rnacentral:rRNA from 1 species
AUAAGCAAAAUAAGGGCAUUUGGUGGAUGCCUUGGUGCAAAGAGGCGAUGAAGGACGUGGCAGGCUGCGAUAAGCUUCGGGUAAUUGUCAACAAAUUUUGAUCCGAAGAUUUCCGAAUGGGGGAACCCAUCUUCUUUUAGAAGAUAUUCUUAACUGAAUUCAUAGGUUAAGAAAGCGAUACCUGGGGAACUGAAAUAUCUAAGUACCCAGAGGAAAGGACAUCAACAGAGACUCCGUUAGUAGUGACGAGCGAAUGCGGACCAGGCCAGUAUUAGUUAAUGUGAAAACUAGAAUAAAAUGGAAAGUUUAACCAUAGAGGGUGAUAGUCCCGUAUAGGUAAUGCACAUGACUAAUCUUGAGUAGGGCGGGACACGUGAAAUCCUGUCUGAACAUGGGUGGACCAGUUCAUCCAAGCCUAAGUACUCCUUUGCAACCGAUAGUGAACAAGUACCGUGAGGGAAAGGUGAAAAGAACCCCGAUAAGGGGAGUGAAAUAGAUACUGAAACCAGAUGCCUACAAGCAGUCAGAGCCCCAAUAGGGGGUGAUGGCGUACCUUUUGUAUAAUGGGUCGGCGAGUUAAUUUUAUUGUGCAAGCUUAAGCCGUUAGGUGUAGGCGUAGCGAAAGCGAGUCUUAACAGGGCGAUUUAGUACAAUGAAUUAGACCCGAAACCGGAUGAGCUAGUCAUGGUCAGGUUGAAGGCGAGGUAAGACUCGUUGGAGGACCGAACACGUUAAUGUUGCAAAAUUAUGUGAUGAACUGUGACUAGGGGUGAAAGGCCAAACAAAUCCGGAUAUAGCUGGUUCUCUGCGAAAUCUAUUUAGGUAGAGCGUCAUAUCAUUACCUUCGGGGGUAGAGCACUGUAAAGGCUAGGGGGUCCAAAAGACUUACCAACCCUUAACAAACUCCGAAUACCGAAGAGUUCAAUAUGGCAGACAGACAGUGGGUGCUAAGGUCCAUUGUCGAGAGGGAAACAGCCCUGAUCGUCGUCUAAGGUCCCUAAAUUAUUGCUAAGUGGUAAAGGAAGUGAGAGGGCCAAAACAACUAGGAGGUUGGCUUAGAAGCAGCCAUCCUUUAAAGAAAGCGUAAUAGCUCACUAGUCUAAUUAAGCCUUCUUGCGCCGAAAAUGUAACGGGGCUAAAGCAAUAUACCGAAGACACGGGUUUGCAUUUAUAUGCAAGCGGUAGCAGAGCGUUGUGUAAGUCUGUGAAGGUGAACUGUCAGGUUUGCUGGAGAUAUCACAAGUGAGAAUGCCGACAUGAGUAACGAUAAAAAGUGUGAGAAACACUUUCGCCGAAAAUCUAAGGUUUCCUGCGUCAAGUUAAUCUGCGCAGGGUUAGUCGGGUCCUAAGGCGAGGCCGAAAGGCGUAGUCGAUGGAAAUCAGGUUAAUAUUCCUGAACCAAGAGGUGAGUGACGGAGUUUUCUUCCCUGUAUUUCCUUAUUGGAUUGGAAAUGCUUGGGAGUUGCUUCCAGGAAAUAGCCCCUCGAUAAGUCCGUACCAAAACCGACACAGGUGGAUGGGUUGAGCAUACUAAGGCGCUUGAGAGAACUACACUGAAGGAACUAGGCAAAAUGCAUCCGUAACUUCGGGAUAAGGAUGGCCUGCUUUUGGGCAACCAGAAGUAGGUGGCACAAAAAUGGGGGUAGCGACUGUUUACCAAAAACACAGGGCUCUGCUAAAUCGUAAGAUGAGGUAUAGGGUCUGACGCCUGCCCGGUGCUGGAAGGUUAAGUGAUGAGGUGAGAGCUUCUGAUCGAAGCCCCAGUGAACGGCGGCCGUAACUAUGACGGUCCUAAGGUAGCGAAAUUCCUUGUCGGGUAAGUUCCGACCCGCACGAAUG